rnacentral:rRNA from 1 species
GCGUAGACGGUACAUUAAGUUUGUUGUUAAAGACUCUGGCCUAACCGGAGGGUUGCAAUGAAAACUGGUGAGCUAGAGGGUGAGAGAGAGAAGUGGAAUUCCCGGAGUAGCGGUAAAAUAGCGUGGAUCUCGGGAGGAACACCAAUGGCGAAGGCAGCUUCUUGGCUCAUUCCUGACGUUGAGGCACGAAAGCGUGGGGAGGCAAAACA